rnacentral:lncRNA from 1 species
AUGUGCCAUAUACCACUGCCUGAAGAUCUCCACCCCACCCAUACUUCUGAAAAUAAAUUAAUUCUGGGCAAAAUAAAUAACGUGAGCAAACUCAUGGAGACAGCAAUGAAACUGCAGGAGUGGAAGCCUUAUGAAAAUAACAUUGCCUUGAGUGAAUGGUGUUUAUUGAACAAUACUGAGAAAGACCCUGAAUUAACAGGGUAGGCCCAGAUCAUGGAGGACCUUGAUUGGCAGCAGUAAAAAAUGUACAACUUAUAUGGCAAGAAGAAAUCAUGAACUGAGCAUAAAAUAUCAAUCAAGAGAAGAUAAAUGGAGUAAUUCUUCACUAAUUAAUGAUUAUUCUCUGAAACUGAGAAAGAUCCAAGAGGUAACAUAGAAAUUAUGUGUAUUAAUAAUUUUUGUGAAGAUUUCAGAGAGAAUUAUGCAGAAAUAAGUAGAAUUGUUGCAAGCUGCCAAAAAUUGGAAUGUGAGCAAUGCAAAAUUAUUUUUCCAACAUAAGUUCAGCAUAGCAUCCUGCCCCCAUGAGUGGUGAUUGCUGAACCCAGUCUAGCCUCUCAGUUUGCUUUUGUGGAC